rnacentral:rRNA from 1 species
GACGAACGCUGGCGGCGUGCCUAAUACAUGCAAGUCGAACGCAGUGGGGACGGGUGAGUAACACGUGGGUAACCUCCCAUCAGAGGGGAUAACACUUGGAAACCGGUGCUAAACCGAUACUGAUGGCUGGUCCCGCGGUGCAUUAGCUAGUUGGUGAGGUAACGGCUCACCAAGGCCACGAUGCAUAGCGGACCUGAGAGGGGGACCGGCAACACUGGGACUGAGACACGGUCCAGACUCCUACGGGAGGCAGCAGUGGGGAAUCUUGCGCAAUGGACGAAAGUCUGACCGAGCAACGCCGCGUGAGUGAAGAAGGUUUUCGGAUUGUAAAGCUCUGUUGUUAGGGAGGCGGUAUCUAACCAGAAAGCAACGGCUAACUACGUGCCAGCAGCCGCGGUAAUUC